rnacentral:rRNA from 1 species
CAGGCCUAACACAUGCAAGUCGAACGAGGCAGCGGCCUUCGGGCCGUUGUCGAGUGGCGAACGGGUGAGUAACACGUGAGAAACCUGCCCCGGAGACCGGGACAACCAGGGGAAACCCUGGCUAAUACCGGAUGCCGUCGGAUGGUCGCAUGGCCGACCGAGGAAAUGCUCUGGUGCUCCGGGAGGGUCUCGCGGCCUAUCAGCUAGUUGGCGGGGUAACGGCCCACCAAGGCAUCGACGGGUAGCUGGUCUGAGAGGACGAUCAGCCACACUGGGACUGAGACACGGCCCAGACUCCUACGGGAGGCAGCAGUGGGGAAUAUUGCGCAAUGGGCGAAAGCCUGACGCAGCAACGCCGCGUGGGGGAUGAAUGCCUUCGGGUUGUAAACCCCUUUCAGCAGGGACGAAAAUGACGGUACCUGCAGAAGAAGCCCCGGCCAACUACGUGCCAGCAGCCGCGGUAACACGUAGGGGGCAAGCGUUGUCCGGAUUUAUUGGGCGUAAAGAGCUCGUAGGCAGUUGCGUAAGUCGGAUGUGAGAACUCAGGGCUCAACCCGGAGACGCCAUUCGAUACUGCGCUGACUAGAGUCCGGUAGGG